CCUACGGGACGCAGCAGUGAGGAAUAUUGGUCAAUGGGCGCAGGCCUGAACCAGCCAAGUCGCGUGAGGGAAGACUGCCCUAUGGGUUGUAAACCUCUUUUAUAAGGGAAGAAUAAUGACUACGUGUAGUCAGAUGCCCGUACCUUAUGAAUAAGCAUCGGCUAACUCCGUGCCAGCAGCCGCGGUAAUACGGAGGAUGCGAGCGUUAUCCGGAUUUAUUGGGUUUAAAGGGUGCGCAGGCGGGAGAUCAAGUCAGCGGUAAAAUGUCGGGGCUCAACCCCGGCCGGCCGUUGGAA
rnacentral:rRNA from 1 species